GUGCCUUUCACCUAUCCAUAGAGUGGUCACUCAAGUGUCACUCCAUGAAUAGGAGUCUGAUCAAGCGGAGGCUGUUGUCAUAGCAACUGCCAAGGGGAACACAGCUGAAAAAUUGGGCUGUGAUUGCAUGAAGGUGACACUGAAAAGAAGUCCCAUCACUCUGAAUCCUGAAUGAUGCUUUUCCGGCAGACUUUUCAUCCCCAGGGACUCACUGAAGAGUCACAGCAUGACAUUCAUCACCGCGUCAUUCUCUGUACCUGAACUCUAUGAUGUUACUUUGUAUAAAGCCUGUUUUUGAAACUUGGUCUCAUGAAUUUGCACAUGAAUAGAGUGCCAGAUCAUGUCAUGUGUCAGUGCAAUGGAUUUUGCAUGUUUCAUUUUUCAUUUGUCGCUGCAUGCCAUGUCCUGCAAAAGCAUGGCAUCACUGAGCUUAGUGCAGCCAUGAAUUAUUUUUAUUACUUUAUGCUGCAUAUUGUAUGGCAUGCUGCCCUGUUACCCUAAUCAAAUGACAGAUCAAUGUAACACAGCAUAAUUGUUAGUAGUAGUAAAGUAGAUUGAAGAUUAUAAAUUGUUUUAUUUUUUUUAUUUUUAGAUUAGAAAAGUGUUACCAAUCCCUCUACCAAUCCACACAUUGAAGAGCUACAUAUGACUUCAAUUACAGCUGUAAGUUUUUCGAUGCAUGUCUCAACCAGCACAUCUAGAGAGCCAGCUUUCUGCCCAUUCUUCUUUGCAAAAUAGCUUGAGAUUGAGUGAAAAUUAAUCUCAAAGCAUAAAUGUUCAAGUCAACAAAUUCUUAAUUGGAUUUAGAUGUGGACUUUUGUUGGGGACAUUCACACACGCGAUUUUGAUCUAAGGCAGAGAUGUCACACUACACUGCUCGAGACUGGUGUCGCCCCUGCUUCAAGACCCCUGAAUCAAAUGACUAGAUUGUCUUCUUGCCACCAAGCUCCACAGAGUGCUGGUAAUUAACUAUUUAUAAUGUUGAAGUUUUCUGAAGCAGAGACACUUCUAAAAGUUGCAGGACACCACCACUCAAGGAAAGGGGUUUGACAACCCUGAUCUAAGGUAUUCCACAGUUACUUAGGCUGAAUGUUUGGGUCUGUUUCCUGAUGGAGGUUGAAAUCCAUCCCUUAGCUUGAUUAUUUUUCAGGUUUUCUUCCAGUACUGACAUAUUUUGACUUAUUUUGACCUUCUCAUCAAGUCCGACCAGCAUUCCUGUUCCUGCUGAAAAUAUUCCUUACAAUAAGAUGGUGCUACCAUCAUCUUCCAGUGAAAGGAUGAUGACCUAAGUGCCUUUUUCCACAUGUUUGCUGUGUCUCCUUGAUAGUUUGUGGCAAACUGCAAACAUGAAUUUGUGGGGCUCUUUCUUAUUAAUGGUUUUCAUUAGUGUGUGACUAAUAGUUGACCUACCAGCAGAUUCUUCUGCUUCUCUGAUUAAUAUUCUGAUUGUUAGCUUAGCUGGAGGGCAAAAUCUUGGCAAGAAUGCAUUUGUACACAGAAUGUCACAGUGAUGUGCCAAAAUCUGACCUUUCAAAGGGCAUAAAUAGUUUUACAAGGAACUUUAUUGCUCAAAGAUGGAAGCUAUCCAUGCUCUGCCAUAAGAGCCUAUUGUUUUGUUACAAAGUGUACCAGCGUCAUCAGAUGAAAUCACAAAAAUAAAGUUAAUAAGAAUGUGAAAUGUGAAAAAUUUCUGAACUCAGAAAUUCCUCUUCAGAAUGCACUUAAGACUUUGAGAUUGAACUUUAUUCAUAAUUGAUGCUAAUACAAAAAUGAACAUAGUCAGAAUCCUGAACUACUUGUAGCACAUGAUGAUAAAAUUAAAACUUAAUUUUCUUCUCUUUUUUUUCCCUUAGUUUUGACUACAGACAGUUUGCAUGCUAAAAAUCUGGGACAAAUUCAUUCAUUAUUGAUACAGCUUUUAUUUCAACACUUUCUCAUUUGAUUAUCCACUGUCUGGUGGAUGGCAGCACUCAUUUGCCUUCAUCCAUUAAUAAUUUAAGAUUUACACUGGUUCUCAGACACAGAUACAUUCGCACUCGAGGUGUUGUGUAACAGUGAUUCCACAAAUCCUUUUCACAUGCAGUUAGAGUCUCCUUUGUAGGUUUUAUUGCAGUUAUCAGAAGAAAAAAAAACAACUUUAAAACAAAUAUGUAAAAAAUUUGAUCUGUUGAUGAAGUUGUCAUCCUAGCCAGUUUUUGACUAAAACUAUCAAGUAGAAAGAAAAUAAGACAUUCAGCAAGAUGUAUUCUGAAGUCAAAAUCUCAAACAUUGAUGCACUAGUGCUUUUUGUAGUAUAUGUUUUGAUUCCUACAUAAUUUUGAGGUCGGGUUCAGUCUUAAAGAAACUGAUUAAUUCAGAGGUAAGACUUGUCUAAUUUCUUUCUUUUCUUUUUUCUUUUUUGCAGUGCAAACAGUAUGACCACUGCAUGUAUUUUCAAGUGCAUUAUAAAGAGACUCAUUCACCCAAA